GCGUCGGUAGUGCAACGGUUAGCAUGCGCUCCCGGAAAGAGAGAGAUCUGGGUUCGAAUCCCGGCUGACGCA